AACAUUUCUUUUAGAUUAUUUAAAAAGUAAAGUCUGCCCACUGUUUAAAUGAAGGGCCGCGGUAUUUUGACCGUGCAAAGGUAGCAUAAUCAUUAGUCUUUUAAUUGGAGAAUGGAAUGAAUGGCUUAAUGAUUUUUUUCUAUUAUAUUUAUUAAAAAAAAUAAUUUUGAUUUUAAAUGAAAAUAUUUAAUUAAUUUAAUUAGACGAUAAGACCCUAUAGAAUUUUAUUUUUAAUAUAUUAAAUAAUAUAGAAAAAGUUUAAAUGGGGCAUUUUUUGAUUAAUUAAAAUUUCUAACUAAUUAUUUAAAAAUAUCUUUAUUUAAAUAUUUUAAAAAAAUUACCUUAGGGAUAACAGCGUAAUAAUUUUUAAGAGUUCAUAUCGACAAAAUAGUUUGCGACCUCGAUGUUGAAUUAAAAUACUUUUAUGGAGCAGCUUUUAUAAUAAGUAGUCUGUUCGACUAUUAAAAUUUUACAUGAUUUGAGU
rnacentral:rRNA from 1 species